AAAACCUGCUCACUUUUGAGCCAAGAUCUUGAGGAACUUCUGAACUGGUUUCGAGUAAAAACAGCCUUAUGAUUGUGGAAAGACUGUGCAAAAGUAUGGGGAAAAUAGCUGAAGGAAUUCAACACCUCAUUCUGGAGUCCAUAUGAAAUGUCUGAGAGACUCUUAAACUUUAUGCAGCAAAGAUUUUUAUGGCCAUGAUACACAAUCUAAUGUAUUACUACAGUGAAAACCUCUAGGAUUGAAACCAGA